GAUGAACGCUGGCGGCGUGCCUAAUACAUGCAAGUCGAGCGAACAGACGAUGAGCUUGCUCCUCUGACGUUAGCGGCGGACGGGUGAGUAACACGUGGAUAACCUACUUAUAAGACUGGGAUAACUUCGGGAAACCGGAGCUACUACCGGAUAAUAUAUUGAACCGCAUGGUUCAAUAGUGAAAGACGGUUUUGCUGUCACUUAUAGAUGGAUCCGCGCCGCAUUAGCUAGUUGGUAAGGUAACGGCUUACCAAGGCAACGAUGCGUAGCCGACCUGAGAGGGUGAUCGGCCACACUGGAACUGAGACACGGUCCAGACUCCUACGGGAGGCAGCAGUAGGGAAUCUUCCGCAAUGGGCGAAAGCUUGACGGAGCAACGCCGCGUGAGUGAUGAAGGUCUUCGGAUCGUAAAACUCUGUUAUUAGGGAAGAACAAAUGUGUAAGUAACUAUGCACGUCUUGACGGUACCUAAUCAGAAAGCCACGGCUAACUACGUG
rnacentral:rRNA from 1 species